rnacentral:rRNA from 1 species
GACGAACGCUGGCGGCGUGCUUAACACAUGCAAGUCGAACGGAAAGGCCCUGCUUUUGUGGGGUGCUCGAGUGGCGAACGGGUGAGUAACACGUGAGUAACCUGCCCUUGACUUUGGGAUAACUUCAGGAAACUGGGGCUAAUACCGGAUAGGAGCUCCUGCUGCAUGGUGGGGGUUGGAAAGUUUCGGCGGUUGGGGAUGGACUCGCGGCUUAUCAGCUUGUUGGUGGGGUAGUGGCUUACCAAGGCUUUGACGGGUAGCCGGCCUGAGAGGGUGACCGGCCACAUUGGGACUGAGAUCCGGCCCAGACUCCUGCGGGAGGCAGCAGUGGGGAAUAUUGCACAAUGGGCGGAAGCCUGAUGCAGCAACGCCGCGUGCGGGAUGACGGCCUUCGAGUUGUAAACCGCUUUCGCCUGUGACGAAGCGUGAGUGACGGUAAUGGGUAAAGAAGCACCGGCUAACUACGUG